rnacentral:tRNA from 1 species
GGCCUCGUGGCUUAUCAGCUGGUAGGGCAUGCGCGUACAAAGCGUAUGCGGCGUCCACGCGUGGGGGUUCGAAUCCCACCGAGGCUA